rnacentral:tRNA from 1 species
UCCCUUAUGGCUCAGCUGGUAGAGAACUCACCUGCAAUGUGGUAGACCUGGGUUCAAUCCCUGGGGUGGGAA